rnacentral:rRNA from 1 species
CCCCUUAUGACCUGGGCUACACACGUGCUACAAUGGGCGGUACAAAGGGUCGCGAACCCGCGAGGGGGAGCCAAUCCCAAAAAGUCGGUCUCAGUUCGGAUUGAGGUCUGCAACUCGACCUCAUGAAGUCGGGGUCGCUAGUAAUCGCAGAUCAGCAACGCUGCGGUGAAUACGUUCCCGGGCCUU